AACGAACGCUGGCGGCAUGCCUAACACAUGCAAGUCGAACGAGACCUUCGGGUCUAGUGGCGCACGGGUGCGUAACGCGUGGGAAUCUGCCCUUUGCUUCGGAAUAACAGUUAGAAAUGACUGCUAAUACCGGAUGAUGUCUUCGGACCAAAGAUUUAUCGGCAAAGGAUGAGCCCGCGUAGGAUUAGGUAGUUGGUGGGGUAAAGGCCUACCAAGCCGACGAUCCUUAGCUGGUCUGAGAGGAUGAUCAGCCACACUGGGACUGAGACACGGCCCAGACUCCUACGGGAGGCAGCAGUGGGAAUAUUGGACAAUGGGCGCAAGCCUGAUCCAGCAAUGCCGCGUGAGUGAUGAAGGCCUCGGUCGUAAAGACUCUUUACCUAGGAGUGAUAAUGACAGUACCUGGAGAAUAAGCUCCGGCUAACUCCGUGCCAGCAGCCGCGGUAAU
rnacentral:rRNA from 1 species